UGUCACUUGUCUAAAGCCCAGAUCCAAACCAGGCCGCGUCUCUCUCCAAAUCCUGGGCUCAGAACCAUCAUGCUGUCAUUGCAGGAGCCUCUGAGACUCAAGAAACUGGGUCUGGAGAAGCGUGGGACAACUGAGUGCUCUCUCUGAUGUCUCACUUCAGCCAGUAAGAGACACUCCACGGAGUACAGGCUUUUAUCCAGGGCAAGGUCACCAAGGGGUUGAAGCCCCAAUUUCAUUGAGAACGCAUCAAGGACAGAGCAAGUGCCCAGGAAAACCAAAGCAGGCGUUUCCUGGCCCCACAGCCCCAGAAACAAUGUCCUAAAGGAAGUGGUGGAAAGGGCCCAGCCCGCUGGCAACUUACAGAGUUUUCUGGGACUUCCCAGCCUUACAGGGACAGUGUCUGUGGAUGGCUUUGGCCAACUGGACGAACAGGAACACCAGGAGGCCCAGAAGCAACAUGGAGCCCAAAGUGAUGACGAAAGGCACAUACCAUGCUGAUGAAGAAUAAACGUUUUUUCUCAGGACCUGGUGGAUGACCUGCGGCUUGAAUGACAGAGUGGGGGACGCUGCUGAGGCCUCCAACCAACACCAGGACCCUUGGAAACAGCAUACCUGAGCCAAUGGAGUAACGAAAAGACCUGGGACUGGAAUCAAGGUCAGUACACGUCAGCUUGAAAUUCUGAAU